GACAGAGGGUGCAAACGUUGUUCGGAAUUACUGGGCGUAAAGCGCGUGUAGGCGGUUCGUAAAGUCGGAUGUGAAAGCCCUGGGCUUAACCCAGGAAGUGCAUUCGAAACUCACGAACUUGAGUCCCGGAGAGGAAGGCGGAAUUCUCGGUGUAGAGGUGAAAUUCGUAGAUAUCGAGAGGAACAUCUGUGGCGAAGGCGGCCUUCUGGACGGUGACUGACGCUGAGACGCGAAAGCGUGGGGAGCAAACAGG
rnacentral:rRNA from 1 species